GUCGUUGUAGUAUAGUGGUAAGUAUUCUCCCGCCUGUCACGCGGGUGACCCGGGUUCGAUCCCCGGCAACGGCG
rnacentral:tRNA from 1 species